rnacentral:rRNA from 1 species
UACGUAGGGUGCGAGCGUUAAUCGGAUUUACUGGGCGUAAUGCGUGCGCAGGCGGCCCGUUAAGACAGGUGUGAAAUCCCUGGGCUCAACCUAGGAAUUGCGCUUGUGACUGGCGGGCUCGAGUACGGUAGAGGGGGGUGGAAUUCCUGGUGUAGCAGUGAAAUGCGUAGAGAUCAGGAGGAACACCGAUGGCGAAGGCAGCCCCCUGGGCCUGUACUGACGCUCAUGCACGAAAGCGUGGGGAGCAAACAGG